ACCCCAAAUUGGGUUUGCAUCUCUCUGGCCGAGCGAGGUGCCUUCCCCAGCCUCACCUCCAGAUGUUCCAUGGGGGUUUGAGGUGUGGAGGAGGAGUGAACGGAGCUUGGUGUCUCUCUGAUUGAGCUACCAGCAACAUUACAAGAUCGUGACUACUCUAAAAGCCUCAACCAUCACUGUGAGGUAAAGUUACGUUUUCUUCCAGUAUGGACAUGGGCAGAAGAACCGUGGAUGGAGGGAGGCCAACAUACUCCAAUCUCAGCUGUCAUUUUGAAUUUGAACUCCUCUGUGCCAGAAAUCGGAUUUAUUGCUGGUGAGAAUGGUGACUCAUGUUCUUUUGACGCCAACCAACUAAUUUAUCCUGCUGUGGUUUGAUGGUGAAAUCGAGGGUCAAAAAGAGAAAGUGACUUGCAGAAGGUCGCAGAGGGGUUAGAACCCAGAACUUUUGAAUCGCAGUCCAGGAUUCUAACAAUAGAACAAAAGAUUAACACUAGCCCACAACCACAGUGCUCUCAUAAAAUGUAAUGACAUGAUACAAUAAUAUCUGACUUGAAUGGUUGCUAUGGGGGUAAAUGAGAUAACAAAUGUGAAAUAUUCAUGUAAAAUCUUAGAGUACUACCUAGGUGGUUGAUAAAGAGUGCAGAACAUCUAUACAAGUCAAUGGAGAAAUGAGGAUUAUUUUCUUCCUGCAAAUAAAACAGAAGUAGUCCCAAGGUCA